rnacentral:tRNA from 1 species
GCGGGAUUAGUGUUCAAUGGCAGCACGUUAGCCUUCCAAGCUAAAAGUAGGGGUUCAAAUCUCCUAUUCCGCUC